UACGAAGGGGGCUAGCGUUGUUCGGAAUCACUGGGCGUAAAGGGCGCGUAGGCGGCUUUAUAAGUCGGGGGUGAAAGCCUGUGGCUCAACCACAGAAUUGCCUUCGAUACUGUAUGGCUUGAGACCGGAAGAGGUAAGUGGAACUGCGAGUGUAGAGGUGAAAUUCGUAGAUAUUCGCAAGAACACCAGUGGCGAAGGCGGCUUACUGGUCCGGUUCUGACGCUGAGGCGCGAAAGCCAGGGGAGCAAACGGG
rnacentral:rRNA from 1 species